rnacentral:rRNA from 1 species
ACGGAAGGCAGCAGUGGGGAAUAUUGCACAAUGGGGGAAACCCUGAUGCAGCGACGCCGCGUGAGUGAAGAAGUUAUUCGUAGUGUAAAGCUCUAUCAGCAGGGAAGAAAAUGACGGUACCUGACUAAGAAGCCCCGGCUAACUACGUGCCAGCAGCCGCGGUAAUACGUAGGGGGCAAGCGUUAUCCGGAUUUACUGGGUGUAAAGGGAGCGUAGACGGUCUGGCAAGUCUGAUGUGAAAGGCAGGGGCUCAACUCCUGGACUGCAUUGGAAACUGUCAGUCUUGAGUGUCGGAGAGGUAAGCGGAAUUCCUAGUGUAGCGGUGAAAUGCGUAGAUAUUAGGAGGAACACCAGUGGCGAAGGCGGCUUACUGGACGAUAACUGACGUUGAGGCUCGAAAGCGUGGGGAGCAAACAGGAUUAGAUACCCUGGUA